UGGGGAAUAUUGCACAAUGGGCGCAAGCCUGAUGCAGCCAUGCCGCGUGUGUGAAGAAGGCCUUCGGGUUGUAAAGCACUUUCAGCGAGGAGGAAGGGUAGUGUGUUAAUAGCACAUUGCAUUGACGUUACUCGCAGAAGAAGCACCGGCUAACUCCGCGCCAGCAGCCGCGGUAAUACGGAGGGUGCAAGCGUUAAUCGGAAUUACUGGGCGUAAAGCGCACGCAGGCGGUUUGUUAAGUCAGAUGUGAAAUCCCCGCGCUUAACGUGGGAACUGCAUUUGAAACUGGCAAGCUAGAGUCUUGUAGAGGGGGGUAGAAUUCCAGGUGUAGCGGUGAAAUGCGUAGAGAUCUGGAGGAAUACCGGUGGCGAAGGCGGCCCCCUGGACAAAGACUGACGCUCAGGUGCGAAAGCGUGGGGAGCAAACA
rnacentral:rRNA from 1 species